rnacentral:rRNA from 1 species
UACGAAGGGGGCUAGCGUUGCUCGGAAUCACUGGGCGUAAAGCGCACGCAGGCGGUUCGCCAAGUUUGGAGUGACAGUUGUCGGCUCAACCGACAAAGGACUUCAAAAACUGGUGAACUUGAGGACGAGAGAGGAACAUGGAACUCCAGGUGUAGUAGUGAAAUGCGUAGAUAUCUGGAAGAACACCAAUGGCGAAGGCAAUGUUCUGGCUCGUUUCUGACGCUCAGGUGCGAAAGCCAGGGGAGCGAACGGG